rnacentral:rRNA from 1 species
AGGUCAUAGUGAUCCGGUGGUUCUGAAUGGAAGGGCCAUCGCUCAACGGAUAAAAGGUACUCCGGGGAUAACAGGCUGAUACCGCCCAAGAGUUCAUAUCGACGGCGGUGUUUGGCACCUCGAUGUCGGCUCAUCACAUCCUGGGGCUGAAGUAGGUCCCAAGGGUAUGGCUGUUCGCCAUUUAAAGUGGUACGCGAGCUGGGUUUAGAACGUCGUGAGACAGUUCGGUCCCUAUCUGCCGUGGGCGCUGGAGAACUGAGGGGGGCUGCUCCUAGUACGAGAGGACCGGAGUGGACGCAUCACUGGUGUUCGGGUUGUCAUGCCAAUGGCACUGCCCGGUAGCUAAAUGCGGAAGAGAUAAGUGCUGAAAGCAUCUAAGCACGAAACUUGCCCCGAGAUGAGUUCUCCCUGAGACUUAGAGUCUCCUGAAGGAACGUUGAAGACGACGACGUUGAUAGGCCGGGUGUGUAAGCGCAGCGAUGCGUUGAGCUAACCGGUACUAAUGAACCGUGAGGCUUAACCUUAC